AAUCUAAUAGUUUCAUAUGAAAAUAAUUUCAAAAAUCUAUAAGUUCUUAGAACGAUUGAACAAGUAAAGAUAAUAUAAAAAACAUUAUAAAACAUCAAAGCUAAACAUAAGCUCACGCGUAACAUGGGUACUCACCUAAUAUACAUAAAAAAAACGUUACUAUCUCUUAAUUGGUCCAUUUUACUUAUUAAUAAGAAACUACUAUUACUCAACUUGAUUUUUUU
rnacentral:sRNA from 1 species